rfam:Ornithorhynchus anatinus chromosome 5, whole genome shotgun sequence.
UCCCUCUCAGGGUCACACCUGGAGAGUUUCCAGUACUCUACCAGUUUUUACUAUGGGAGGGAGAGUCAAGCAGAGGCCUACCCAUUCCUAGCUAAGGCAGUGGCUAGCGAAUGGAAGACAAUCUGCUACAAGU